rnacentral:rRNA from 1 species
UAGGGAAUUUUCGUCAAUGGGCGCAAGCCUGAACGAGCGAUGCCGCGUGAGUGAAGAAGGCCUCGGUCGUAAAGCUCUGUUGCGGGGGAAAAAAGGACAGCAUCAGGAAAUGGGUGCUGACUGAUGGUGCCCCGCCAGAAAGUCACGGCUAACUACGUGCCA